UUGAUAUGACCGGAUGUCAUUUUCGGUGUAAAAUGUUAAACAAUAUAUAUUAAAAAAUUAAUGAUGAUAUUAACAUAUGGAGUGUGUUUUGAUGAAUUUUGGCGUGGUAAAGAUCAAUAGACGUCGAAGCAAGUAUUAUGAAGUUAAAAGUUAAAAUAACUAUUAAAAGAAGUAGCUCAUACAGUUUUUCUCAUGAAAACUAUUCUCUGUAAACAAAAUACCAGAAAAUACAACAACAGCAGUGAUGUAUGUAAUCGGUCAGGGGAGAGUAGGAUGUAUGCACACUUUGCAUCUAACUUUGCGGGAUAGAGAGGUUGUUCAAAAUAAGUGUAAUCAAAGCAGGGUUGAAAGGAAAAUACUGAAUUUCAAAAUAACAAUAUAAACAGAAUACAUAAAAAAAACUACAACGAGGCAUCGGAGAGGAGAAAGAUUAACUUG
rnacentral:lncRNA from 1 species